CGGGGAAUUUUGGACAAUGGGCGCAAGCCUGAUCCAGCCAUGCCGCGUGCGGGAAGAAGGCCUUCGGGUUGUAAACCGCUUUUGUCAGGGAAGAAAAGGUUCUGGCUAAUACCUGGGACUCAUGACGGUACCUGAAGAAUAAGCACCGGCUAACUACGUGCCAGCAGCCGCGGUAAUACGUAGGGUGCAAGCGUUAAUCGGAAUUACUGGGCGUAAAGCGUGCGCAGGCGGUUAUGCAAGACAGAGGUGAAAUCCCCGGGCUCAACCUGGGAACUGCCUUUGUGACUGCAUGGCUAGAGUACGGUAGAGGGGGAUGGAAUUCCGCGUGUAGCAGUGAAAUGCGUAGAUAUGCGGAGGAACACCGAUGGCGAAGGCAAUCCCCUGGACCUGUACUGACGCUCAUGCACGAAAGCGUGGGGAGCAAACAGGAUUAGAUACCCUGGUAGUCCACGCCCUAAACGAUGUCAACUGGUGUUGGGAGGGUUUCUCUCAGUAACG
rnacentral:rRNA from 1 species